rnacentral:rRNA from 1 species
CCUACUGGUGACAGCAGUGGGGAAUAUUGCACAAUGGGGGAAACCCUGAUGCAGCAACGCCGCGUGAAGGAAGACGGUUUUCGGAUUGUAAACUUCUGUUCUUAGUGAAGAAUAAUGACUGUAGCUAAGGAGCAAGCCACGGCUAACUACGUGCCAGCAGCCGCGGUAAUAAGUAGGUGGCAAGCGUUGUACGGAAUUACUGGGUGUAAAGGGAGCGAAGGCGGGAGCGCAAGUCAGAUGUGAAAACUCAGGGAUCAACACUGAGCCGGCAUUUGAAACUGUGGUUCUUGAGUGUUGGAGAGGAAAGUGGAAUUAAGUGUGUAGAGGUGAAAUGAGUAGAUAUAAGGAGGAAAAAAAGUGGAGAAGGAGAAUUGAUGGAAAGUAAAUGAAGAUGAGGAGAGAAAGAGUGGGGAGAAAAAAGGAUUAGAUAAAAAUGUAGGC